UAGUCCUCUACAUUAGAUCAAAGACUAAAUUGGUCAUAUCUGUAAAAAAUUUCAUCCAAUUGUACUGUUAAAAACUUGUGUGGCUAACAGAAAUAACCAAUUAGUGACAUAUGGCUUGCCACAUGUACCUUAAAAAUAAAUGAAAUUUUAAGCAAAAGGACCACUGGACUAGUUUGCUCUUUGAUCUAAUGUACAAGGAUCA
rnacentral:pre_miRNA from 1 species